rnacentral:rRNA from 1 species
UACGUAGGGGGCUAGCGUUGUCCGGAUUUAUUGGGCGUAAAGAGCGUGUAGGCGGCCAGGUAGGUCUGGUGUGAAAACUCGAGGCUUAACCUCGAGAUGUCAUCGGAAACCAUCUGGCUAGAGUCCGGAAGAGGAGAGUGGAAUUCCUGGUGUAGCGGUGAAAUGCGCAGAUAUCAGGAAGAACACCGGUGGCGAAGGCGGAUCUCUGGGCCAUUACUGACGCUGAGGAGCGAAAGCGUGGGGAGCGAACAGG